UUUUGGACAAUGGGCGAAAGCCUGAUCCAGCAAUGCCGCGUGCAGGAUGAAGGCCCUCGGGUUGUAAACUGCUUUUGUACGGAACGAAACGGUUCUCCUUAAUACGGGGGGCUAACGACGGUACCGUAAGAAUAAGCACCGGCUAACUACGUGCCAGCAGCCGCGGUAAUACGUAGGGUGCGAGCGUUGUUCGGAGUUACUGGGCGUAAAGCGCACGUAGGCGGCUUUGUAAGUUAGAGGUGAAAGCCUGGAGCUCAACUCCAGAAUUGCCUUUGAUACUGCAUCGCUUGAAUCCAGGAGAGGUGAGUGGAAUUCCGAGUGUAGAGGUGAAAUUCGUAGAUAUUCGGAAGAACACCAGUGGCGAAGGCGGCUCACUGGACUGGUAUUGACGCUGAGGUGCGAAA
rnacentral:rRNA from 1 species